rnacentral:rRNA from 1 species
CACGUAGGGGGCAAGCGUUGUCCGGAUUUAUUGGGCGUAAAGAGCUCGUAGGUGGUUCGGUAAGUCGGGUGUUAAACCCCCAGGCUCAACCUGGGGACGCCACUCGAUACUGCUGUGACUAGAGUCCGGUAGGGGAGCGUGGAAUUCCUGGUGUAGCGGUGAAAUGCGCAGAUAUCAGGAGGAACACCAGCGGCGAAGGCGGCGCUCUGGGCCGGUACUGACGCUGAGGUGCGAAAGCGUGGGGAGCAAACAGG